AACGAACGCUGGCGGCAUGCCUAACACAUGCAAGUCGAACGAGACCUUCGGGUCUAGUGGCGCACGGGUGCGUAACGCGUGGGAAUCUGCCUUUGCUUCGGAAUAACAGUUAGAAAUGACUGCUAAUACCGGAUGAUGUCUUCGGACCAAAGAUUUAUCGGCAAAGGAUGAGCCCGCGUAGGAUUAGGUAGUUGGUGGGGUAAAGGCCUACCAAGCCGACGAUCCUUAGCUGGUCUGAGAGGAUGAUCAGCCACACUGGGACUGAGACACGGCCCAGACUCCUACGUGAGGCAGCAGUGGGGAAUAUUGGACAAUGGGCGCAAGCCUGAUCCAGCAAUGCCGCGUGAGUGUUGAAGGGCCUUCGGGUCGUAAAGCUCUUUUACCAGGGAUGAUAAUGACAGUACCUGGAGAAUAAGCUCCGGCUAACUCCGUGCCAGCAGCCGCGGUAAU
rnacentral:rRNA from 1 species